GACCUCAAAUCAGGUAGGACUACCCGCUGAACUUAAGCAUAUCAAUAAGCGGAGGAAAAGAAACCAACAGGGAUUGCCUCAGUAACGGCGAGUGAAGCGGCAAAAGCUCAAAUUUGAAAUCUGGUACCUUUGGUGCCCGAGUUGUAAUUUGAAGAUAGUUUUCUGGUGCUGGCCCUUGUCUAUGUUCCUUGGAACAGGACGUCACAGAGGGUGAGAAUCCCGUCUGGCGGGGUGUCCAGUGCUUUGUAGAUUUCUAUCGACGAGUCGAGUUGUUUGGGAAUGCAGCUCUAAGUGGGUGGUAAAUUCCAUCUAAAGCUAAAUAUUGGCGAGAGACCGAUAGCGAACAAGUACAGUGAUGGAAAGAUGAAAAGAACUUUGAAAAGAGAGUGAAAAAGUACGUGAAAUUGUUGAAAGGGAAGGGUAUUAGAUCAGACUUGGUGUUUUGUGAUUAUCUUCCCUUCUUGGGUUGUGCACUCGCAUUUCACUGGGCCAGCAUCGGUUCGGGUGGUAAGAUAAUGACAUUGGAACGUGGCACUGCCUUCGGGUGGUGUGUUAUAGCCCUUGUUGAUGUUGCCUACCUGGACCGAGGACUGCGGCUUGCCUAGAUGCU
rnacentral:rRNA from 1 species